rnacentral:rRNA from 1 species
CUUAUUAUCAGCUCUAACUCAACUUACACAUGCAAGUCUCCGCAACCCAGUGAAUAUGCCCUCAAUCCCCCCACCCGGGGACGAGGAGCGGGCAUCAGGCACAAACAUUAGCCCAAGACGCCUAGCCAAGCCACACCCCCAAGGGAAUUCAGCAGUGAUAAACAUUAAGCCAUAAGUGAAAACUUGACUCAGUUAGUGUUAAGAGGGCCGGUAAAACUCGUGCCAGCCACCGCGGUUAGACGAGAGGCCCUAGUUGAUAUUACAACGGCGUAAAGGGUGGUUAAGGAUAAACAAAAAUAAAGUCAAAUGGCCCCUUGGCCGUCAUACGCUUCUAGGAGUCCGAAGCCCUAAUACGAAAGUAACUUUAAUAAACCCACCUGACCCCACGAAAGCUGAGAAACAAACUGGGAUUAGAUACCCCACUAUGCUCAGCCGUAAACUCAGACAUCCAGCUACAAUUAGAUGUCCGCCAGGGUACUACGAGCAUUAGCUUAAAACCCAAAGGACCUGACGGUGUCUCAGACCCCCCUAGAGGAGCCUGUUCUAGAACCGAUAACCCCCGUUCAACCUCACCACUUCUAG